rfam:Triticum aestivum genome assembly, contig: Triticum_aestivum_CS42_TGACv1_scaffold_577743_7BL
CUAGUACUCCCUCCGUCCGAAAAUACUUGUCGGAAAAAUGGAUGCAUCUAGACAUAUUUUAGUUCUAGAUACAUCCACUUUUAUCCAUUUAUGCGACAAGUAGUUCCGGACGGAAGGAGUACGUA